rnacentral:snoRNA from 1 species
AAGAACCCCUGCUUUAAGAGAUCAUUUCUGUAGUUCCUUACUAGGAAAGGUUCUCUGAACAUGUAAGGUAUUGAAAACCGCUAGGAGGCGCAGCGUUCUUUCCUGAGCGUGAAGUAGGUUCUAUGCAUUGCUUUCUUGGAAUUGUCUAUUGCCAUUGACGAUGGCUCUUCUCUUGUAUUUUGGGGGAGUAAGAGGGAAAGAAAGCAGUCUGUGUGUU